rnacentral:rRNA from 1 species
CCUACGGGUGGCAGCAGUGAGGAAUAUUGGUCAAUGGGCGAGAUCCUGAACCAGCCAAGCCGCGUGAGGGAAGACGGUCCUAUGGGUUGUAAACCUCUUUUGCCGGGGAACAAAACGCGGUACGUGUACCGCAUCGCGAGUAUCCGAAGAAAAAGCAUCGGCUAACUCCGUGCCAGCAGCCGCGGUAAUACGGAGGAUGCGAGCGUUAUCCGGAUUUAUUGGGUUUAAAGGGUGCGCAGGCGGUGCGUUAAGUCAGCGGUAAAAUUUCGGGGCUCAACCCCGACAAGCCGUUGAAACUGGCAGGCUAGAGUGGGCGAGAAGUAUGCGGAAUGCGUGGUGUAGCGGUGAAAUGCAUAGAUAUCGCGCAGAACUCCGAUUGCGAAGGCAGCAUACCGGCGCCCGACUGACGCUCAGGCACGAAAGCGUGGGUAUCGAACAGGAUUAGAUACCCUUGUAGUC